GUCCGCGUAGCACAGUGGUAGUGCGCUUGACUACGAUCUUGUCCUUUGUAAAAGUGACUAGGACGACAUCAAGAGGUCGCGAUUUCGAAUAUCGCCGUGGAUU
rfam:Cryptococcus neoformans var. neoformans JEC21 chromosome 10 sequence.